rnacentral:rRNA from 1 species
CGCGUAGGCGGUUUGCUAAGUUGGAUGUGAAAACUCUGGGCUUAACCCAGAGCCUGCAUCCAAAACUGGCUAACUUGAGUACUGGAGGGGAAAGCGGAAUUCCUGGUGUAGCGGUGAAAUGCGUAGAUAUCAGGAGGAACACCGGCGGCGAAGGCGGCUUUCUGGACAGUAACUGACGCUGAGGCGCGAAAGCUAGGGGAGCAAACA